UAACCCCUACGGGUGGGAAGGCCACGCCGUUCGGAAGGUAGGGUCGAUGAUUGGGGUG
rnacentral:rRNA from 1 species